rnacentral:lncRNA from 1 species
AAUAAUAAGUUUCAAAAUAAUAAAAUUCAGUUUAUUUCUUGUCUUCUUCACAAGAGAAGAGACAAAAGGUCUCUUGCUCUGUUUUUCAUUCUUCCUUUCAAUAUUCCAAUAUGGUAUCAGAGCUUUAUUGGUCUUAGGGCCUGUACAAGCAAAACAAAAAUAAGAAGAAAUCUGCUGCAAGUAAAAGAGAGAUGAGUCAACAAAUUUAUGGUGAGAAGGAUAUUGAAGCAGAAGAAGUUGUCAUUUAGAUGGAAUUAACCGGAGGCAAAUGCAUUACUUGUCUAUGAAGAAACUGUCAACCAACAUCAAGGUUUGAAGAGCUUAGAAGGAAGCUUAGAGUUAAGCCGAGAUAUGAUUAAGGGAGAGUGUUGAAUUAUAAUCAUAUCUUGUGGAUGUUACAUUUACAUAAGUUAGUUACUUGAUCCAAUAGACACAAGUAUGAAGAGACACAACUCUUUGUGUUGUUAUGUCUAUUAGUUUUCUAUUUAAACCAAUUGUAACGUCAUGUAAAAUAACAAGUUUCAGAAUAAUAAGUUUCAAAAUAAUAAAAUUCAGUUUUGUCUUCUUCACAAGAGAAGAGACAAAAGGUCUAUUGCUCUGUUUUUCAUUCUUCCUCUCAAUAUUCCAACAUGGUAUCAAAGCUUUAUUGGUCUUAGGGCCUGUACAAGAAAAAAAAAAAUCAUUAGAAGUCCGCUGCAAGAAAAUACGAAAGAUGGAGACAACAACCUAUGAUGAGAAGAAGAAGAAGGUAAAGAAGAAGAAGAGGAAGAAGAAGAAGAAGAAAGGAAAGAGGUGAUGACAAGAGAGAUCAUCAUAAACCUUCACAAACAGAAUCAUCAAGAAGAAGGCUCCAAAGGGAUGAUGAAGAUAGGAAAUCUUCUCAAAAGAAAAUGGAGAAAACAAAUGUGAAGUUAGAGUUGUGGAAGGAGGUUC